rnacentral:sRNA from 1 species
UGCUGCUUAUGCUGCCUUCUGCCCUGGU